rnacentral:rRNA from 1 species
GUAGGGAAUCUUCCACAAUGGGCGAAAGCCUGAUGGAGCAACGCCGCGUGUGUGAUGAAGGGUUUCGGCUCGUAAAACACUGUUGUAAGAGAAGAAUGACAUUGAGAGUAACUGUUCAAUGUGUGACGGUAUCUUACCAGAAAGGAACGGCUAAAUACGUGCCGG